GUUUCCAUGGUGUAGUUGGUUAUCACAUCUGCUUAACACGCAGAAGGCCUGCAGUUCAAGUCUGCAUGGAAACA
rnacentral:tRNA from 1 species